rnacentral:rRNA from 1 species
UGGGGGAUAUUGCACAAUGGGCGAAAGCCUGAUGCAGCGACGCCGCGUGGGGGAUGAAGGCCUUCGGGUUUUAAACUUCUUUUGCUCUGAACAAGGCAUGCCUUUGGGGUGUGUUGAGUGUAGGGGUUGAUUAGCGCCGGCUAACUACGUGCCAGCAGCCGCGGUAAUACGUAGGGCGCGAGCGUUGUCCGGAAUUAUUGGGCGUAAAGGGCUUGUAGGUGGCUGGUUGCGUCUGUCGUGAAAGCUCAUGGCUUAACUGUGGGUUUGCGGUGGGUACGGGCUGGCUUGAGUGCAGUAGGGGAGGCUGGAAUUCCUGGUGUAGCGGUGGAAUGCGCAGAUAUCAGGAGGAAUACCGGUGGCGAAGGCGGGUCUCUGGGCUGUUACUGACGCUGAGGAGCGAAAGCGUGGGGAGCGAACAGG